GGGAGAGGUUACUGUGAGGGAAUGGUUUGGGGGAGGGGUUACUGUGAGGGAAUGGUUUGGGGGAGAGGUUACUGUGAGAACAUAGAAACAUAGAAACAUAGAAUGUGACGGCAGAUAAGAACCAUUCGGCCCAUCUAGUCUGCCCAAUUUUCUAAAAACUUUCAUUAGUCCCUAGCCUUAUCUUAUGGUUAGGAUGGUGAGGGAAUGGUUUGGGGGAGAGGUUACUGUGAGGGAAUGGUUUGGGGGAGGGGUUACUGUGAGGGAAUGGUUUGGGGGAGGGGUUACUGUGAGGGGAUGGUUUGGGGGAGGGGUUACUGUGAGGGAAUGGUUUGGGGGAGGGGUUACUGUGAGGGAAUGGUUUGGGGGAGGGGUUACUCUGAGGGAAUGGCUUGGGGAGGGGUUACUGUGAGGGAAUGGUUUUAGAGGGGUUACUGUGAGGGAAAUGGUUUGGGAGAGGUUACUGUGAGGGAAUGGUUUGGGGGAGGGGUUACUGUGAGGGAAUGGUUUGGGGGAGGGGUUACUGUGAGGGGAUGGUUUGGGGGAGGGGUUACUGUGAGGGAAUGGUUUGGGGGAGGGGUUACUGUGAGGGAAUGGUUUGGGGGAGG